rnacentral:lncRNA from 1 species
CAUUUUAAUGUCUCGAUUAAUAUUCAUAUUUUCUACUUUUUAGACCCUUUUCUUUUACUGAAAGGAAGUUAUCAUGGUGUUUAGUUGCUGUAUGACCAAUUAUUAUAUUUGUAUAAUCAGACUCCUUCUCACAGUUGUAGCAUUUAGUCAUUUUCGGUUUCCAUUUCUUAAACAAUUAAAUAAAUAAUACAAGAUACAAGUCAAAUAAAUCAUGAAAUAUCUAAGAUGUAUACUCUUUUAAGAACAUACAUCUCAUCUUAUACAAUAUAUGUAUG